UACGUAGGGGGCAAGCGUUGUCCGGAUUUAUUGGGCGUAAAGAGCGUGUAGGCGGCCAGACAGGUCAGCUGUGAAAACUCGAGGCUCAACCUCGAGACGUCGGUUGAAACCGUCUGGCUAGAGUCCGGAAGAGGAGAGUGGAAUUCCCGGUGUAGCGGUGAAAUGCGCAGAUAUCGGGAAGAACACCCGUGGCGAAGGCGGCUCUCUGGGACGGUACUGACGCUGAGACGCGAAAGCGUGGGGGAGCGAACAGGG
rnacentral:rRNA from 1 species